GACGUAGGGCGCGAGCGUUGUCCGGAUUUAUUGGGCGUAAAGAGCUCGUAGGCGGUUUGUCGCGUCGUCCGUGAAAACUCACAGCUUAACUGUGAGCUUGCGGUCGAUACGGGCAGGCUAGAGUUCGGUAGGGGAGACUGGAAUUCCUGGUGUAGCGGUGAAAUGCGCAGAUAUCAGGAGGAACACCGGUGGCGAAGGCGGGUCUCUGGGCCGAUAUUGACGCUGAGGAGCGAAAGCGUGGGGAGCAAACAGG
rnacentral:rRNA from 1 species